CCUACGGGAGGCAGCAGUGAGGAAUAUUGGUCAAUGGGCGUAAGCCUGAACCAGCCAAGUCGCGUGAGGGAUGAAGGUUCUAUGGAUCGUAAACCUCUUUUAUCAGGGAAUAAAGUGUGGGACGUGUCCUGUUUUGUAUGUACCUUAUGAAUAAGGAUCGGCUAACUCCGUGCCAGCAGCCGCGGUAAUACGGAGGAUCCGAGCGUUAUCCGGAUUUAUUGGGUUUAAAGGGUGCGUAGGCGGGCUUUUAAGUCAGCGGUGAAAGUCCGGGGCUCAACCACGGAAUUGCCGUUGAAACUGGGAGGCUUGAGUAUGUGUGAGGCAGGCGGAAUGCGCGGUGUAGCGGUGAAAUGCUUAGAUAUCACGCAGAACCCCGAUUGCGAAGGCAGCCUGCCAAGCCAUGACUGACGCUGAUGCACGAAAGCGUGGGGAUCAAACAGGAUUAGAUACCCGAGUAGUC
rnacentral:rRNA from 1 species